AUGAUAUUCAACAUCGGAGAUGUUGUGUGGCUACACCUUCACAAGGAGCGCUUCCCCAAUGAACGCAAGUCCAAACUUCUACCACGAGCCGAUGGACCCUUCAAGGUGCUUGCACGCUACAACAACAACGCCUACAAGAUCGACAUUCCACGUAACAAGUACUCCGUGAGCGACAUCUUCAACAUCAACGAUCUCUCCCCGUACCAUGGAGAUGAGGAUUUUGAUUUGAGGUCGGAUCUUUCCCAAGGGAGGGGAGAUGAUGUCGAGAAUCCUACGGUCAUCACCAUGGACCUACCAUCGUCUCACCAAGUGCCAAGAGGACCUAUGACACGAGCACGAGCUAGAGCUCUCGAGACCGAGGUGACUUCUUUCCUUAGUGAUAUCUCAUAUGAUCCUCUCGAGACAUGGCUACUACCCAAGUCCGGAUUGUUGUGCAUGAUUAGGUACCAAGAGAACCCUCCCGAGGAUGCACAUGAAGAUGGUCAAGCCCCAAAGUUC
rnacentral:rRNA from 1 species